rnacentral:rRNA from 1 species
UGGGGCGGCCAUAGCGGAGGGGAAACACCCGUUCCCAUCUCGAACACGGCAGUGAAGAACUCCAGCGCCGACGGUACUGCUCUGGUAACGGAGUGGGAGAAUAGGACGCCGCCCCAA